rnacentral:lncRNA from 1 species
ACCCUUGCAAAACUAGCUCAAAAUUAGGCAGGACCAAGCUCGAAAGGCUUAAAAGCUAACAAAAUAACAGCUUGUAAAAGGCCUAAUAUAAUACGUUCACUACAGCCACUAGGCCCAACUAUUGGGCUAAUGUUUCCCCUAACAAAGACAGCCCAAGACUGCAACUACAGAGAGGGGCCUAGAUAGUAAUUACAAGACAAAAGCCCAAAAUACUACCGGGAACAAAUAAUCCGUCCGCCACCGGUCAGCGGAGGAGGGAGCCUAUAGAUUUCCCGGCUCCAUUUCCGUAGAUUGAAAAGUUCAUGUAUAAGGAUGUUAAAUGGGAAGAGUUCAGCCGUUGAUUCGCCAGGAAUCGGUUCACUCAACCAAAGUGUAUGUCACUCGGCUCGUACACAAGCCGACGAGAGCGCAAGCCAACUUGGAAGAUGGCACGAUAAAUUUGCUGCUUCUCACGCUAGUCGGACGAGCUGAGCCUGCUAGCCGCACUUAACAGUCCUAACUGCAGGUCAUUUGCCUAUCACCUGACUUCGAUUUCUCUUCGUGAAAAUGUCUCCUCGCAGAAUUCUAGCGUUCCAAUAAAUCCUUAUUUUCCUUUUCACUUCAGUAAAGCCCUAGUUACAUUUUGAUUCAUUUAUAACCCCCGCCCCCCCCCCCCCCGGGCGUUCUAUGUACUCUUCUGUUCUGAAUUAGUGCUGGAAGGAAUUCUAAGGAUUGUUAUGUUGCAUUGUUAUAUAAACUUGAAUAAGUACUUCCUUUGCACUGCUUAUUGUUGCUGAAAAGUCUUGUAAAUAUAUCGAUUUAUUAUUUUCGAGGGAUAGAGCGUAAAUUUUGUGGGUAAGGGACUUCAAUUUUGCACUUGCUGGUCCAUGUAUCUGGAUUAAGAAAUUUGAUUCUACCGGGGAACUAAACAAUGAUGAGUUAUAUUUGGAUUCCUUUUUCCUAUUUCAAUGAGGAAAAUAUUAAAAUCAGCUCCUUGUGUCCUAAAUUUAUCUAUAUUUCUCUUUCCCUUAAACUUGUGUAAAGGCAUAUCUGAAUUGCUCCUCUUUCGUUGGUGGUGCCUUGACAAGGUAUUGAAUCAGUUGGCAAGUGGAUUAGUAAAUUUAAGCUUGGUUACGAAUUGAUCUGUCAUAACGAAAACUCCUUGAUUCAUAUACCUGAAGGAAUAAUUUGGAUAUUAUAAGGUCUUCUGGUGGUUAACUGGUUAAGUGCCCUGAUUAUCUGUGAAUAGUGAGAAGAUAAAGAAUGGUUUGGAAGAGCGAGGAGGAAUGCAUAAUGCAGUUUUAUUGUUUCUCAAGUUUCCUGUUUGGGAAAGAAAGGAAGUGAGAAGGGAGAUUUUGGAACGUUACUAUUUCUUUCUAUCUAUAGGUGAGAGCGAAAAGCUUACCACUUUUUCUAUAACUCUUCUUACUUUCAAUAGAAGAUUAGGAGAAAAGGAAGUUCAUCUUUAAACUAUCCACGUGUUUAUGAUGUAAACUUGGAAUAGUGAAAUGGACAUUAUGACCCUUCUGUCGUUUGUUUUGUGUCCACACACAAAAAAACUGGAGAACUUAGUCCUUCCACUAGCCAUCAUUAUUUUUAUUUCAUUGUUUAUCGACCUUUUUGACCUUUAUACCUGAUGGAACAUAAAUUUGUUGUCGUCUUACAUGAGAUGACACGAAAGAAAAUUUGUGCUGUAUUUACAGAAUAUAAUUUAAUAUGCCGGUUAAUAUUAUGUUUGUUGACCUUCUUAUAGUGGCUAAGUGUUUUCAUAAUUCAUGUCUCUGGCUGCAGUCUGCUUUGGUAAGAAAGGGGUGUGUGUUGUCCUUAGGCUUCACAGUUAUUACUGUAAUUUGUUUUACAUUUAUUUCUUGUAGUGCUUGGGGCAUCAAAUAUUGAAGCAGCUAGUCUGACAGACUAAAAUAAAAACUCAAAUACUGUCUAGAAUCGCUUCUUUUAGGUUCAAUUAUUUGCACAGGCUACUUUAAUUAUUCUAUGCUUCAGUGAUAUAACUCCAUGUUGAACAGUUACAGUUUGUACAUGUGAAGAAUGAAUUUUGAUGUGACAAGUUCUUUGUUAGGUCCCAUUAGCUAAAGGAAAAAAGUUCUGGGCCACGAAAAGGAACUUAUAAUUGAUAAUCAGAUUAAUAUUUGCAUUAUUGGACGUGCCACUUGUACUGAAGCUGAUGAUCAUCUUGUCAAGUGGUUCAUGCUUAACUAGUUUUUUGGUCCACUUUUUAACCAUGAUUUACUGGAUGCCAAUCAAAUAUGUUACAAAUUGCCGACAUAUGCACGACAAAUAAAAUAUUUUAAAAGCUGCAACAGUUGUUAUUUUUUACUUUGCUUAUAUUAUUUUAAUUGGUUUUGACAGCUUUCGCUAACCUGAUUAUCUUCGUGCAUUCAGUUGGGAAUUUACACCAACAAGAAGUUGAAUGGUGAUUAACCACAAAUAGGACACUUGAAUUAAAUAAAAUUCUAUUCACUUAUUCCGCGUUGAAUGCUUACAUCACAUGCUCUAAAUGUGGAAGUUUAAUGAACUUUCCUGCCAUCUUGUGUGGUAGCUCAAUGUGAUAACUAACUGAGAUAUUGGCUUUCCCUAUGGUUGAAAGUUGGGAUGGAAUUAUUUGGAACCCUAUGAUGAUGAGCUUCUGACUACCCAUAUAUAAAUAACCUCAUAUUUCUUCAUAUGUUGGAUGUAAGAACUGAUUACUUUGUUUAGAGCUUUAUGUCUUCUCAAUUUGAAUUUACCUGGAAUCUUUAACCGUAUACGCUAAAUUAUUGCUAUAUGCACGGGCCUAGUAAUCUUAUUAUGUCUGGUUAUUAUCUGCAAGGAGUUUCAAAUUGAAGUUCAACUUCCAUGCAAUUCAUAUUCUGUCCUUGCUCCAAUAAGGAGAAUAGAAUGGAAAUGGUAAAAAUUGAAAAAAAUAUAGUAAUGUAGCACACGAGAAAGAUUUACUUGUCCAUUUUUUGAAAUUUUGUUGGGUUUCCCUCAAGAACUACAAUGCGAACUUCCGGUCAUGGAGUUUGAUCUUUAUAUUUGCUAUUAUGCUUAAUACUUGUCUUUUCAGUUCUAUGCUUUAAAUGAUCCAUUCAAGGUUGCUUUUUUUGCUUUUUAUCUGACUAGAUCUCGUCAAGGUAAUGCCUGUGAUGUUUGCUAGUGAGAAUUCUGCAUGGGAAAUUCUUACACUUACUGAGGUGACCAAGCAGCAAUGGCCGGCCUGGACACUCUCGUGCAAAUUACUCGUGUUGUAGGGUGGAAUUGGAGUUCCUAAUUGAAAUUUGAAAAAAUGAGUUGAAAUUUGAGUAGAAUCGUAAAAGUUUCCACCUGGCAACGUUGUUCAAUUCAGCAUCAAGUUAUUUCAGGCCAUGUAGGUUUCAAUGUCUUAUAUUUAUGAUAUGGCAUUGUUUUGGUUUAGCGUUUUAGUUAAAAGGGGAAAAACCCUUAAUUUGUGUAGUGAAGGUGACUCGACCUAUUGUGGACUUGACCUAUAUGUUGAUGCACAUUCAAUGAUUCUAAUUUGUGGGGAUCAUCGUUUGCAUCUUGG